rnacentral:rRNA from 1 species
CGCGUAGGCGGCUCUGUUUGUCGCGUGUGAAAGCCCCGGGCUCAACCUGGGAGGUGCGCGCGAGACGGCGGAGCUGGAGUUCGGGAGAGGAGCGUGGAAUUCCCAGUGUAGAGGUGAAAUUCGUAGAUAUUGGGAAGAACACCGGUGGCGAAGGCGGCGCUCUGGACCGAGACUGACGCUGAGGCGCGAAAGCGUGGGGAGCAAACAGGAUUAGAUACCCUGGUAGUCCACGCCGUAAACGGUGUGUGCCAGACGUUGGGGGGCCUAGCCCCUCGGUGUCGCAGUCAACGCGGUAAGCACACCGCCUGGGGAGUACGGCCGCAAGGUUAAA